UUCUGGUUGAUCCUGCCGGAGGCUACCGCUAUUGGAGUUCGAUUAAGCCAUGCGAGUCGAGAGUCUUAGGGACUCGGCGUACCGCUCAGUAACACGUGGGUAACCUGCCCUAUGCUGGGGAAUAACCUCGGGAAACUGAGAAUAAUACCCCAUAGUUCACCACGCCUGGAACGGUGGGUGGAUGAAAGCUCCGGCGGCAUAGGAUGGGCCUGCGACGUAUCAGGUUGUAGGGGGUGUAACGUACCCUCUAGCCAUCAACGCGUACGGGUGUUGGGAGACAUAGCCCGGAGAUGGAUUCUGAGACACGAAUCCAGACCCUACGGGGUGCAGCAGGCGCGAAAACUUGGCAAUGCGAGCAAUCGUGACCAGGGAACUCCAAGUGGCUGGGGUAAUACCCAGUUUUUUCUUGACUCUUCAAAGGUCUUGGAAUAAGGGGUGGGUAAGGACGGUGCCAGCCGCCGCGGUAAUACCGGCGCCUCAAGUGGUAGUCGCUUUUAUUGGGCCUAAAACGUCCGUAGCCGGUCUGGUGCAUUCGUGGGUAAAUCAACCCGCUCAACGGGUUGAAUUCUGCGAGCACGGCCAGACUUGGGACCGGGAGAGGUGUGGGGUACUCUCAGGGUAGGGGUAAAAUCCUGUCAUCCUGAGAGGACCACCUGUUGCGAAGGCGCCACACUAGAACGGAUUCGACGGUCAGGGACGAAACCUAGGGGCAC
rnacentral:rRNA from 1 species